rnacentral:rRNA from 1 species
GACGAACGCUGGCGGCGUGCUUAACACAUGCAAGUCGAACGGUAAGGCCCUUCGGGGUACACGAGUGGCGAACGGGUGAGUAACACGUGGGUGAUCUGCCCUGCACUUCGGGAUAAGCCUGGGAAACUGGGUCUAAUACCGGAUAGGACCACUGCCUGCAUGGGUGGUGGUGGAAAGCUUUUGCGGUGUGGGAUGGGCCCGCGGCCUAUCAGCUUGUUGGUGGGGUGCUGGCCUACCAAGGCGACGACGGGUAGCCGGCCUGAGAGGGUGACCGGCCACACUGGGACUGAGAUACGGCCCAGACUCCGACGGGAGGCAGCAGUGGGGAAUAUUGCACAAUGGGCGCAAGCCUGAUGCAGCGACGCCGCGUGAGGGAUGACGGCCUUCGGGUUGUAAACCUCUUUCAGCACCGACGAAGCGCAAGUGACGGUAGGUGCAGAAGGAGGACCGGCCAACUACGUGCCAGCCGCCGCGGUAA